UUUCCACUAGGCCAUUAAAGACACAGCAACAUCCAGAGUUGUGCUGUUUGGGACCUCAGCUUUUAUCCCUGAAGUCUUCUCAUACUUUUUUAAAAGGACCCAGUUUUUCCUGCAGCGUCCGUGGUCACUGUGGACCCUAAAGCUUUCUUGUACUAUCCUUGUCAUGGGACUGAUGGUGCCAGUUUCUUUUAGUGUAUUCCCACAGAUUGGACGGAUACCGUGCAGUGAGCUUGAAAAGGAAAUUCAGUCUGCAACAGAAGAAACAGAACUCUUCUAUAACAGAGGGGUGUAGGGGUGAGUUUUAGGUGAAUUUGUUUGGUACCUGCGUGAAGACCUUCCUCCAAGGUUUCAGUUUGGACAACCCUGCCAGAAGUGUCCUGGAACCCCCAGAGGUGUCUGCGCCAACAGGAUGGCUUCCAAUUACGCAUGCCAAGACUGUUUUGUGGCUGAUCGUACCUAGGGUUAAACAAGCUUGGGUGGAAGGAGAGAAACGGGGGCUGUCCUGUCUAACCCACCACACGGGGCUGCUGAGGGGAUGCCUGUGUGAUAUAAGAUUCAGUUUUCUAUUCGUCAGCCUGUGAAAGGAUACUGUGAACUUACUAAUAAACUUUUCUAAAGUUGAGUAUUGGAAACCAAAGGAGAAAGGUCCACCAAUGCCCACGUGCCCAAGGCACAGGCAUUAAACUGGUGGCCCAUCUCGAGGUGUAUAUGUGGGGAGCCAAUGAAGGCCUCCAACCCCCAAAGCAAUCCUGUUUUCCUUCUCAGCUUACUCCUGUUGGACAGCUGCUUAAAAUCUUUGCCAGCUGCUGCCCAGCUCCUCCUUUCUCCUCACUGGCAGGUGACCCUGUCUCCUCCUCCACUGUGAAAGCCAGGGCUGUUGGCCUCCUGGCACCAAACCUGCUGACCUCCCUCCACGCACGCCCGGCCUCCCCUCCUCCGUGCAGAGUCAGCUGUGCCCUGGGCUUGAGCCCGACCCCUCCUGUUUCCUCAGGGGCUUUGCUCUGCAGCCUCCACUGCCCCUCUGGCUCCAGCCUUCCCCCUGCUCCUCCUCAGUAGCAUUUCAGCUGCUUGAGUCACCUGCCUCAUGAAAAAAGCAAAACCCCCCCUUGGUAGCCAGACUUUUUCAAAGAGUUUUCUACCCUCACUGUUUCCACCCCGCCCUCCACUGCUGAGACUGCUGUCAUCCGUGCCUCCCCCAGAUGCUGGUCAUACUGCCAGUGACCCCCGUGCAGGCCUGUCGUGGGGCUUGCUCUCCCCUGCCCAGCAGGCCCACGCCCAGCGGCCCCCUGCACUUUGCCAUCUGGAGGUCCACUUGAGAACAUCUUUCCCUCCCAACCUCAGGAAAUGGCACCACCGCGUACCAGCUUCGUCAGGAUCACUGGCCUCGGCCUUACCACCCCCCCAUCGCCCCACCCCAUUCAAUACUAUUGGGCAGACUCUAUCUAGAACUCACCCCUCCGCGUCCACUGCCCAGCCCAACAGCAUAUCCCCUGCUGGUGUCGCUCAUCAGUCCAUCUCCAGCCCACUCUUCUAAACCAC